ACGAUCACGUCACGCUGAUAUAUCAGUCCCCAUAUGCUCACGAAAGGUAAGCAACGUCGAGCCUGGACAGUACCUAGAUGGGUGACCGCUUGGGAAUUCCAGCUGCUGUAU